GGCAAAUUUGCACCAAUUGUUGCUGGCUUAAUUGCUGGACAAAGGGAUAUUUCUAGGUGUUGGGCAUGACUUCAUCUAAAUUAUUUUGCCCAAAAACCAACAGAGAAAAAAGAAACACAUUCACCACAUUCUCCAUAUGAAUUAGGACACUAGGAUACGUGUCGAAGCAUUUGUACCCUAAUAUUGCAGUUCAACACAUUUACAUUGGGUAUCUUCCGUUUGUUUGUUUCAUCAAAUUCCACCGUAAAACGUACAACUUGACAAUUUACAGAAGAAUGAAUAAAUUGAAACUUAAUCCCCUGUUACAGAUAAGUUGCACCGAAAAGCUCGAGAUGUAAAAUUCAGCUUUUGCGGAGGUCAUGUAUAUAUUUGUCAUAAUAAUACAUAGGCUUGCUCGCUUAUGGAUUUCUGUUGCAGCAGUCACCAUUCUGGAGGGCUUGGUCGUCACUUGCUUGUAGCUGUAUCACCAGAUCUCAACUCCUUUUCAAGCUCAUCAAACUCCCAGU
rnacentral:misc_RNA from 1 species